rnacentral:sRNA from 1 species
GCCAGGCAUGGUGGCACAUUCCUGCAAUCCCAGCAGCUUGGGAGGCUGAGGCAGGAGGAUUGCGAGUUCAAAGCCUCAGCAAUUUAGUGAGGCACUAAGCAUCUCAGUGAGACCCUGUCUCUA